CUCACAGACGUGUUUUCUCAGAGACAACAUAUUAAGUCUUCCUGGGUAACUUGCUGAGGGGGAUUAGGGUGUUUGUUGAUGUGUUUGCUGCAUUACUGUGUGGUUAUGGGCAGCGUUAUAAGGAUCCAGGAUCAACACAGCUAGGUUCAAUGACAAUCUAGGGUCAACACAGCUCAAUGGCGAUCCAGGUUCAACACAGCUAAUUUACGAUGCAGGUUCAUCACAGAUGUUCUCUGGCUCUUCCCUCUGCUCAGCCGCCAGCUCCAUGUGCCCCCACCCCAAAGAAUCUUGGGGUUUCUGUGGCCGCGGUCCCCGGCAUCAUCGCCGUCCUUCCUGCGUCCUCUGCGACUCCUGCCAAGGAAGGGUCUCCUGUCCUUCAAUGAUUUCUUCCCAGGUCCAACCUAUUUUUCCCAUCAUUGCACGCUGCUUGGUCCUUGUUUGGUGGGAUAUUCUGUCACGGUCUUGGAAAUGAGCGGACCAAGACGCAGCAUUGCAGACGGUAGCAACAAGAUGAAGCACUGUGAUGUGUGUGGACCCAAGAAGGACAGGAAGACACAGUACAAAAUGGUCGCUCAUUUAUCAUUGCUAUAAAAUACUGUAUGUAAAAUUUGUUCAGUUCAAAGCAAUAAACAUCAGCAGUGA